UGGGGAAUUUUGCGCAAUGGGCGAAAGCCUGACGCAGCAACGCCGCGUGCGGGAUGAAGGCUCUCGGGUCGUAAACCGCUUUCAGCAGGGAUGAAAUUGACAGUACCUGCAGAAGAAGCCCCGGCUAAAUACGUGCCAGCAGCCGCGGUAAUACGUAUGGGGCAAGCGUUAUCCGGAUUCAUUGGGCGUAAAGAGCGCGUAGGCGGCUUGUUAAGUUAGAUGUGAAAUCCGGGGGCUUAACCCGCGGUCUGCAUCUAAAACUGGCAGGCUUGAGUCUGGUAGAGGAAAGUGGAAUUCCCAGUGUAGCGGUGAAAUGCGCAGAUAUUGGGAGGAACACCAGUGGCGAAGGCGGCUUUCUGGGCCACGACUGACGCUGAGGCGCGAAAGCUAGGGGAGCAAACA
rnacentral:rRNA from 1 species